GACGAACGCUGGCGGCGUGCCUAAUACAUGCAAGUCGAGCGCAGGAACUCGACGGAACCCUUCGGGGGGAAGUCGACGGAAUGAGCGGCGGACGGGUGAGUAACACGUAAAGAACCUGCCCUCAGGUCUGGGAUAACCACGAGAAAUCGGGGCUAAUACCGGAUGGGUCAUCGGACCGCAUGGUCCGAGGAUGAAAGGCGCUUCGGCGUCGCCUGGGGAUGGCUUUGCGGUGCAUUAGCUAGUUGGUGGGGUAAUGGCCCACCAAGGCGACGAUGCAUAGCCGACCUGAGAGGGUGAUCGGCCACACUGGGACUGAGACACGGCCCAGACUCCUACGGGAGGCAGCAGUAGGGAAUCUUCCACAAUGGACGAAAGUCUGAUGGAGCAACGCCGCGUGAACGAUGAAGGCCUUCGGGUCGUAAAGUUCUGUUGUAAGGGAAGAACAAGUGCCGCAGGCAAUGGCGGCACCUUGACGGUACCUUGCGAGAAAGCCACGGCUAACUACGUG
rnacentral:rRNA from 1 species